UCAUGCCAUUAAUAGACCAGCAAAAGCUAAACCAAAAAACUUAGAACAUCAUCAAACAAAAACCAAAAAAACUUGAAAACUCCAUCCUCUAACUCUGAAGCAUGCCACCAAAUUUCAGAUAUCUAAUUGCCAAUAACAGUAACAAUAAAACCCUAGGAUGAAACGAUGGCAACAUGAGGAAGGACUACCCACAUCUUCGACGACAUACUCAAAUAUGUAUGUCUUGUACUUCAUUCGUAACUUGUUGAUAGCCUUCUCUAUCUCACAAAUAGGAUUAUUCAUCAAAGGACCUAUCACAUAAAUUAACACAAACAUGUUAGUGACAAAUGAAAACCAAGCCUCAUCAAGCCUCUUAGUGUUUAAUGAAGUGCUGCUAGAAGCAGCUUUGUCUGUCGCAGCAUU
rnacentral:lncRNA from 1 species